rnacentral:lncRNA from 1 species
AUGCAAUCAUUUUCUAAACAUUUUACAUCUGUCAGUAUAAACAACUGCCUUGAGCCUCACAUAUCUUUCGCUACCAUGAAGGACCCAUGUCAGCUGAAGUGUACAGCAGCAUGCUUUCUCCAAACUUAUCAAGUUUACUGCACCCUCUCUCCUCUGGCCUGCUACUCAUCCUUUCUUGGUUGUGAUGUGCCUGGAAAACAGGAGAUUUGGUCGGGUAUUAAGGCUGAAAGAUUGAUGAAGUCCAGAAGUUGCAACAUGAGACAAGAAGAGGGACAAGGUGAUUUCGGCAAAAACCAUCUUGAGUUUCCUAGGAAAAUGAUGAAGACUGGAAGAAAGCCUAAUUUGCCUCAGAAAUGCAAAGGCAUCUCAGGACUGGGCUGUCGACUUUUCUGGAAUGAGAUUCUGAAGCACUGUAGCUCUCACUUCACCCAUCCCCCCACCAUAAACACGUGCAUGACUCACUGUGGAAAUGUAAAGUUCCAUGCCUAAUGACGUCAGUAUCUCAAUUUAGAAUUUUACACCUGAUGAAAGACUCAGUUUUCUCUCCCUUUCAGUUUGUUCUGUGAAUUGGUGGGGUUUUUUUGGGUACAUAUUUCUAUCUUCUGCACAGGGUUAUGGACAACUUUCAAUUGUACCCCUGGCAAGACUCAUCACAGUAGCUUGCUCAUUGUGAGAGCUUAAUAAAUACUCUUAAUUUAAGAAAUGAAAUUUUCUG